GACGAACGCUGGCGGCGUGCUUAACACAUGCAAGUCGAACGGAAAGGCCCUGCUUUUGUGGGGUGCUCGAGUGGCGAACGGGUGAGUAACACGUGAGUAACCUGCCCUUGACUUUGGGAUAAUUUCAGGAAACUGGGGCUAAUACCGGAUAGGAGCUCCUGCUGCAUGGUGGGGGUUGGAAAGUUUCGGCGGUUGGGGAUGGACUCGCGGCUUAUCAGCUUGUUGGUGGGAUAGUGGCUUACCAAGGCUUUGACGGGUAGCCGGCCUGAGAGGGUGACCGGCCACAUUGGGACUGAGAUACGGCCCAGACUCCUACGGGAGGCAGCAGUGGGGAAUAUUGCACAAUGGGCGGAAGCCUGAUGCAGCAACGCCGCGUGCGGGAUGACGGCCUUCGGGUUGUAAACCGCUUUCGCCUGUGACGAAGCGUGAGUGACGGUAAUGGGUAAAGAAGCACCGGCUAACUACGUGCCAGCAGCCGCGGUGAUACGUAGGGUGCGAGCGUUGUCCGGAUUUAUUGGGCGUAAAGGGCUCGUAGGUGGUUGAUCGCGUCGGAAGUGUAAUCUUGGGGCUUAACCCUGAGCGUGCUUUCGAUACGGGUUGACUUGAGGAAGGUAGGGGAGAAUGGAAUUCCUGGUGGAGCGGUGGAAUGCGCAGAUAUCAGGAGGAACACCAGUGGCGAAGGCGGUUCUCUGGGCCUUUCCUGACGCUGAGGAGCGAAAGCGUGGGGAGCGAACAGGCUUAGAUACCCUGGUAGUCCACGCUGUAAACGGUGGGUACUAGGUGUGGGGUCCAUUCCACGGGUUCCGUGCCGUAGCUAACGCUUUAAGUACCCCGCCUGGGGAGUACGGCCGCAAGGCUAAAACUCAAAGGAAUUGACGGGGCCCCGCACAAGCGGCGGAGCAUGCGGAUUAAUUCGAUGCAACGCGUAGAACCUUACCUGGGUUUGACAUGGAUCGGGAGUGCUCAGAGAUGGGUGUGCCUCUUUUGGGGUCGGUUCACAGGUGGUGCAUGGCUGUCGUCAGCUCGUGUCGUGAGAUGUUGGGUUAAGUCCCGCAACGAGCGCAACCCUUGUUCACUGUUGCCAGCACGUUAUGGUGGGGACUCAGUGGAGACCGCCGGGGUCAACUCGGAGGAAGGUGGGGAUGACGUCAAGUCAUCAUGCCCCUUAUGUCCAGGGCUUCACGCAUGCUACAAUGGCUGGUACAGAGAGUGGCGAGCCUGUGAGGGUGAGCGAAUCUCGGAAAGCCGGUCUCAGUUCGGAUUGGGGUCUGCAACUCGACCUCAUGAAGUCGGAGUCGCUAGUAAUCGCAGAUCAGCAACGCUGCGGUGAAUACGUUCCCGGGGCU
rnacentral:rRNA from 1 species